rnacentral:misc_RNA from 1 species
CCGAGUGAGGGCCCCUGGCCCGACCUCCAACCCUUUGUUAUCAAAACCACUGUUGCCUCGGGGGCGACCCGGGCCCGUCGGCCCUGGGCCCCCGGUGGACAAUUUCAAAACACUGCAUCUUUGCGUCGGAUUACAAAGUUUAAUGAAUUA